CUAGGUCAUGUGCCAACAAGACGAUGCUCCUGCAUCCGCGAUUUGUUUCGACACACACUUCUCAAAAUUUGCGGGAUGCUAUGAUGAUAUUUUCUAUGAUGUAAACAAAUUAACUAUUUAAUGUCAAUAGUUUGUGUUAUAUAAAGCUACGCAUGUUAGGAGUAAAGUAAUUUAUUAUUUGUUCUUAGCCCCUGGUUUAUAAAUCCCAACUUUAAAAUUCCCAGUGGAUGUGUCUGUUAAUCGAUUGCGUUUGGGAUAGAAAUUUGUGUGUUUUAUUUAUUUAUUUAUUCGGGUUUUUGUAGCUGAUGCUGAUACAUAUUAGGUUUUGUGUUACUGGGUUUUAUCACUAAUUAAUUGUCAAUUGGAUUUUCCGGUUUCAAAAAUAGGUGAGGCGUCGACUAAUCAGCUGGCUGAUCAGCAGAUGCCAGUGUAUAAUCUUGCAUCGAAGAUUCUUUGUUGGGUUAUCAAUGUAUUAUUGAAGGCUGAACCAGACACUGAAGAAUUAUUUGCACAACUCACUUUACUUCCCAAAUCAAAUGGAGGCUUGAUUGAUAGUGACGCUUUAACCCACAAGAGGAAUGUUAAUACCACAACGCAGUUCAAGUUGGGCCACUGGUGACUUUUCUGCUUAAAUGGAUUCAUCAACUCAAUUUUGUCGUUAAUUUUUGUUUUGAGUCCAUUUUCCUUGAUGAUGUUGUAUUAGGAUUUUAAGCUUAGUCGUUCAGGCGUGACACAUUUUCAGUGGGAAGUCACAAGCAUAAUUCAUUUUUCUUAAAUUAGACUCAA